GAAAAAGUUAUAGGGGCUAUAGAAUUGGCUUGAAACCAGUUUCAGAGGGUUCAACUCCUUCCUUUUUUA
rnacentral:tRNA from 1 species